AGUGUGAUUCCUGGAACAUAUGGUAAGAGUAUUUUUACUUUUAUAAAAACUACCUAUCUUCCAAAGUGGCUGUACCAUUUUGCAUUCUCAGCAACAGU
rnacentral:pre_miRNA from 1 species